UACGGAGGGUGCAAGCGUUGUCCGGAUUUAUUGGGUUUAAAGGGUGCGUAGGCGCCCGUUAAGUCAGUGGUGAAAGCCUCCAGCUCAACUGGAGAACUGCCAUUGAUACUGACGGGCUUGAGUACAGACGAGGUUGGCGGAAUUGAUAGUGUAGCGGUGAAAUGCAUAGAUACUAUCAAGAACUCCGAUUGCGUAGGCAGCUAACUAGGCUGUAACUGACGCUGAGGCACGAAAGCGUGGGGAGCGAACAGG
rnacentral:rRNA from 1 species